AUCUAGCUGACAAGUUCCAAAUAGGAUGAAACGCGCGUCCUGGAU
rnacentral:hammerhead_ribozyme from 1 species